CCACACCAGACCAGAUCAUCCGCCCUGCGCCGCCGCGGCCCGGGCCCACCCCGCAGCGACCGCCCUCCCUCCCCACGAGUCCGCGCAGAUCCGCGAUUGGUCGACGUCCCACUCCUCCCUCCCCUUCCCUUCCUCCUCCUCGAGCCCUCCCCCUGCGUCGACAAUUCCCCGUCCCCCGUCCCCCGCCAAUCCCAAAUCCCCAAUCCCCCGCGCCGCCGCCCCGCUCGCCGUCGUACGGAUUCCGCCCCGGCCGGCCCCCAAUCGCCGUUUGCCGUGGAGGCGGGGUCCCCUCGCGGCGUCGGCAGCCCGCCCCGCGAUUCUAGGGUUUCGGGCGGGGUUGCCCCAAUUCGCCGGCCCGGCCCCGUGCCUCGUUCCCGCGGGUGCUUCCGUCCGCCCCGCGCGGGUCCUGAUCGCUCGCGCUCGCGCUCGCGCCUGCUGCUCGCUGCCGCUCUGUCCACUGCUGCCUGAUUCAGAGAGGGCUGUCUUGUCUGGUUAAAUUCUCGCUGACCGACCCUCCAGCAGGAAGAAAUAUUGCAGCUUUCGAAGGGUUUCCGGCGCGUGGUGCCCGCCUCGGUAGGGGCUGCCGCUUCUUUCAGCUUGCUCCGCGCCACGCCGCACCUGGAAUGACGUCGCCCGCGCUUGUCUGAGGCGCGGCUGCCAGCGACAAUGAAUGUGGGGCAGGCGGCGCACCUGUCCGGGCAGAUGUCCGGGCAGGGGGCGCAGAUGAAUCAGGUUGUUGGCGGUGGCAGCGGUGUCGUCGGCGCUGACGGCAUGCCCCUGCCCCAGCACCAGCAGAUGCAGGAUGGCGUGGGCCUUGUUGCCCCGGGGGUCGAUCAACAGUUUGCGCUCAUGCGCUCCAAUAUGCGCGACAAGAUAUAUGAGUAUAUAGGAAGGAAGCAGACAUCUGCUGACUGGAGGCGGAGGCUGCCGGAACUCGCAAAGCGGCUAGAGGAAAUCUUGUUUAGAAAAUUCCCAAGCAGGAAUGAGUACUACAAUAUGAUGAGGCAACCAGUGGAGCCACAAUUGCAGUUUGCUAUCAAGGCCUUGAGUGCUCAGAACCAACUAAAUCAACAAAACCAACAAAUGUCAAGGCAGAUGGCAUCUUCCUCUGGUUAUAGCACAAUGAUUCCAACACCUGGUAUCACACAAGGUGCAAGUGGAAAUUCUAGAAUGUCUUAUGGAACAGACAAUAUGGGUCUUUCGUCAUCUGGUGCAGGCAUGGUUCCUCAGAAUGCCAACAUGGGUACCUCGAUGCCUGGUACAAUGUCUAAUGGCUACCAGCAUCUAACUACCAGUGCCCCACUAAAUUCGACCACAAGUAGUGUCCCAUCUACGAUGGGUCCAGUGGGUAUUCAGCGACAAGUAACUCAUAUGAUCCCAACUCCUGGAUUCAGUAAUCAACAAAAUGUACCUACUAAUUCUGACUAUUCAAAUGGAACUGGAUAUUUCAAUGGUGAGUCAGCUAUGACACCACAUAUGCAGCAGCAGAAGCAAUUUCAAAGCAACCAGAGCAGCCAUCAAAUACAUCAUAUUGGGGGGCACAGUAAUUCUGGAAUACAUUCAAGCAUGCUGGAGAAUUCUUCUGCAUUUGGUUUAUCAGAUGGACAUGUGAAUGGUGGAAUGGGAUUGCAUGGGUCAAACACGCAAAUUACAAAUAGAAAUGCAGCACCAGAAGGAUAUAUGAACAUAUCCUCUUUUGGAAGUUCGCCCAGACCUUUGCAGCAACAGUUCAAUCAGCAUCCAACACAGAGAAUAUCAACAUCAGUUGACAUGGGUGGCUCAGGAAGUUUCUACGGUACUGGUUCUUCUGCUUUAGCAACAGCAAAUAAUCAGAACAUGGGUGCUGCAAACUUGCAGUCUAGAUCAAGAAUGAAUUCCAUGCUGCUUAGCAAUCAGCUAAACAUGCAAUCCAUUCAAGGGCAGCCACAGAUAAAAACUGAGGUUUUGGAUCAGUCAGAAAAACUCAAUUUCCAGCCAUCUCAGUUGUCUCAUGAACAACUACUCCGACAGCAGCUUUCAAUGCAGCAACAUCAGGCUAUGCUGAGGAGCAAUUCCUUUAAACAGUCUCAACUGAAUUCCAGCCAUUCUAUGCAAGUGUCAGAACAGGGAACUUUGCCACACACCGAACUAACAUCUUCACAAGCUACUGAACCUCCUGCACUUCCAAAUUUCCAGGGUCAAUACCAGCAAAGAAGUGCUCACGAUAACGUCAAAGGUGCGCAGGUGUUUGGACAUCUUUCUGGAUCUCAAAAUUUCAGUGCUUCUGGUUCUCACGAUUCUCAGCCAUUGUUGCACCCUAAUCAGCAGCUUGAUGUUAGCUCGAAUGAUGUCAGUUAUGUUUUGAAAGGAACACAGACAGAGCAAAUGCAGCAGCACCAAUGGCGGCCUCAAACAAUGGAAAAGGUUCCUAUCAGUAGCAAUUUAUCUCUUGAAAAGCAAAUACAGGAUGACUUUUGUCAGAGAACAAUGGCCCAGGACGGAGCACAACAGCCAUUUUCAUCUGACUGGCGUGUUUCUGGUUGCACUGUGACCUCAGUUGACCCUGCACUGCCAAAGCUCCCUGCUGGAGGAUUGGAACAGCCCACUGGAAAUAUCAAUUACCUCCGUCAGAUGAGGUGGUUACUGUUGCUGUUUCAUGCAAAAGGAUGUUCUUCUCCUCUUGGUAGUUGUAAAUUACCUCGUUGUGUUCAGCUGCAGGAUUUUGUGAAGCAUUUGGACAACUGCCAAAGAAAAGAUUGUCCACAGAAGAAGUGCAGUAAGUCAAGAAUGUUAAUUGAGCAUUAUAAGACUUGUGUUGAUGAGCAGUGUCCUGUAUGUAGUAAUGUAAAGAAAUUUUUGCGCCUCUCAGCUGAACAUGCAAGUAAGCAAAAAGUCCCUGAGCCUAGAAAAGUUGCUCAACAGAAUAUGACUCAAAGAAUCAUGAAUGGGGUAGACAGUGAUAUAAUGGACAUUGACCCAGUGUCUGUUGAAUCCUUUGAUGGUCAGCCAUCUGUUCCAAAACGUUUGAAGAUGCAGCCUGCGUCACCCAAUGUUCCAGAGCAUGAAAUACUUAGAGCCUCCAAUCCUCAGGUGAACCCAGGGUUUGUACUACAGGAAUCACAUCCCGAGCUGCUUGAGCAGAAUAAAAAGACGGCAUACAUGAAAAGAGAGUUGGACGUAAAGGCUGACAUGCGACCUCUGCAGAAGCCCGUAAAGAUGGGUUAUGGUGCUGAUGGAAGUGUGCCUACAGCGAGGCACAAUGUCAUUCCUACUGUUUCAAAUGAGAUGAAGUCUCAUGUCAAGCAAGAAAUCUUGCCGGUUGACAAAGGGACAAGUGAAAAUGUUCAUGAGGUUAAGAAUGAAACAAAUGAUUCAACAGAGGCCACAGCAUUGAAAUCAGGAAAACCAAAAAUAAAAGGUGUUUCAUUGACUGAGUUGUUCACUCCAGAACAAAUCAAUGCACAUAUAGAGAGUCUAAGGCUGUGGGUGGGCCAGAGCAAGGCUAAAGCUGAAAAGAAUCAACUGCUGGUGUCUUCCGAAAAUGAAAAUUCAUGCCAGCUCUGCAAAGUGGAAAAACUCACUUUUGAACCUCCACCCAUAUAUUGCUCCCCUUGUGGUGCUCGGAUAAAGCGAAAUGCACCAUACUAUACUGUUGGUUCUGGUGACACCCGCCACUUUUUCUGUAUUCCAUGUUACAAUGAGUCCCGUGGUGACACCAUUGAGGUUGAAGGACAGAAUUUUUUGAAGGCCCGGUUUGAGAAGAAAAGAAAUGAUGAGGAAACUGAAGAAUGGUGGGUUCAGUGUGACAAAUGUGAAUGCUGGCAGCAUCAGAUAUGUGCUCUGUUUAAUGGCAGAAGAAAUGAUGGAGGACAAGCAGAGUAUACUUGCCCGAAUUGCUAUAGUAAUGAAGUGAAGUGUGGGCUGCGCAUGCCUCUACCACAGAGUGCUGUUCUUGGAGCAAGUGAUCUGCCAAGAACUGUUCUUAGCGAUCAUAUAGAAGAGCGGCUUUUUAAACGGCUUAAGUGGGAGAGACAGAAUCGGGCGAAUAAUUUAAAUUGUAGUGUUGAUGAGGUCGCCGGAGCAGAAGGUCUUGUGGUCAGAGUUGUUUCAUCGGUGGAUAAGAAGGUUGAAGUUAAACCACGCUUUUUGGAAAUUUUUCAAGAAGAUAAUUACCCGACAGAGUUCCCUUACAAGUCCAAGGCUGUUCUUUUGUUCCAGAAAAUAGAAGGCGUAGAAGUGUGCUUAUUUGGAAUGUAUGUUCAAGAAUUUGGUGCUGACUGCGCUUACCCGAACCAACGUCGAGUUUAUUUGUCAUACCUGGAUUCUGUGAAAUACUUCAGACCUGAGAUUAAAGCAGCCACUGGAGAGGCCUUGCGUACAUUCGUCUACCAUGAAAUUCUGAUAGGAUAUCUUGAAUACUGCAAGCAGCGUGGAUUCACAAGCUGUUAUAUAUGGGCUUGCCCACCUUUGAAAGGUGAAGAUUACAUUUUAUAUUGCCACCCUGAGAUUCAGAAGACUCCAAAAUCUGACAAACUGCGGGAGUGGUACUUAGCCAUGCUUCGGAAAGCUACUAAGGAGGAGAUUGUUGUUGAGCUUACAAAUCUGUAUGACCAUUUCUUCAUUACCAUGGGAGAGUGCAAGGCUAAAGUUACCGCUUCCCGUUUGCCUUACUUCGAUGGAGAUUAUUGGCCUGGAGCUGCGGAAGAUAUGAUUAAUCAACUGCGUCAAGAAGAAGAUGACCGAAAGCUUCAGAAGAAGAGUAAGACAAAGAAAAUUAUUACAAAAAGAGCUCUUAAAGCUGCUGGCCACACUGAUCUCAGUGGAAAUGCUUCUAAGGACGCUAUGCUGAUGCAGAAGCUUGGGGAAACCAUUUAUCCAAUGAAGGAAGAUUUUAUUAUGGUCCAUUUGCAGUAUUCUUGUAGCCACUGUUGUCUCCUUAUGUCGUCUGGAAAACGCUGGGUCUGCCAUCAAUGCAGAAGUUUUUACAUCUGUGACAAGUGUUACAGUGCAGAACAACAGCUUGAAGAUAGGGAGAGGCAUCCAAGUAAUAGUAGAGACACACAUAAGCUCCAUCCAGUUGACAUUGUUGGGGUGCCUGAAGAGACAAAGGAUAGAGACGAUAUUCUGGAAAGUGAGUUUUUUGACACCAGGCAGGCAUUUCUCAGUCUUUGUCAAGGGAACCAUUACCAAUAUGACACCCUUCGCCGUGCUAAGCAUUCGUCAAUGAUGGUGUUGUAUCACCUACAUAAUCCCACUGCACCAGCGUUUGUCACUACAUGCAAUGUCUGUAGCCAUGAUAUUGAAACUGGUCAAGGCUGGCGGUGUGAAAUUUGUCCAGAUUUUGACGUGUGCAAUGGUUGUUACCAAAAAGGAGCAGUCAAUCAUCCUCACAAGUUGACAAACCAUCCAUCAGUUGCCGACCGUGAUGCCCAAAACAAGGAAGCCCGGCAAAUGCGUGUUCAACAGCUAAGGAAAAUGCUCGAUCUUCUGGUACAUGCCUCUACAUGCCGCUCUGGCAGCUGCCAAUAUCCUAACUGCCGUAAAGUCAAGGGACUAUUUCGGCAUGGGAUGCAGUGCAAGACACGUGCUUCAGGAGGGUGUGCCCUGUGCAAGAAAAUGUGGUACAUGCUUCAGCUCCAUGCCCGAGCUUGCAGAGAUUCAGGAUGCAGUGUACCGCGGUGCAGGGAUCUCAAAGAGCAUCUUAGAAGGCUGCAACAGCAGUCUGAUUCCCGGAGGAGGGCUGCUGUUAAUGAGAUGAUGAGACAGAGAGCAGCAGAGGUUGCUACAACAUGAUUAGUUGCAUCUGUACAGGUAUACCGUCGUCGAAAGAAGAUUAGGAAAGUGCGCAGGGUCUCAGUCCUCUCAUCCCCCACACCAAGUCGAAACUUGGGGUCGUUGAAUUAGAGGAUCCAGGUCGACCGAUUGUCCUGGAAGAUGGAAGAAGACGCUGGCCAUUCUUCGCCGACGAUUAACAUAGGGGCUUGAAAGCCUGCCAUUCUCCGAAGGAAGGGUGAAGGGCGCAGUGCACCACAGUAGGUGGUAACUGUUUGCGCCCUGCUGACUGUGCCGCUGAUGUUGUCGAUAGGAACCGGCCUGGCCCCUUGGGUGUGGUGAUUCUUUCGUUUGACCUGUACUAGUUGGACUAAUCUUGUUUUUGCUGCUUGCCUGCUCCGUCGUCGACGUUCAUGUAUAAUAGGUCUCUGGAUCCUCUAUUGUUGAAAAACAAUGGUUGUAGCUGCUGCUGUUUUGUUCCCUCUGUUCCGGUUUCUUGUCACCUCGGUCAGGAGGGGUAUAGUAGGGAGAAAGAAGGUAGAGGGAUGGGCACUGGACAUGGUUCUGUUUAUUUAUGUCCCCCUCCCAUUUUGUAGGACAAGUCUUUAUUUUGAAAGUAUAAAGGAAAGUAAAUCCUGCGUCUUUCUUUGCCCCUCCUUUCUUGCAAGGUAAUGCAUGAUCUUGAUUUGUCCAGUCAGAUCAUCACACUGGAAAUUUUGAAUGUGGGGAUUAUUGUGCCAUGACGAAAAUUAGAGCUGUGCAGAAAUCUGUACGGCCAUUUGUCUGAAAUUUUGCCAUCCCAAGCAUC
rnacentral:rRNA from 1 species